GACGAACGCUGGCGGCGUGCUUAACACAUGCAAGUCGAACGGAAAGGCCCCUUUGGGGGUACUCGAGUGGCGAACGGGUGAGUAACACGUGAGUAACCUGCCCUUGACUUCGGGAUAACUUCAGGAAACUGGGGCUAAUACCGGUUAGGAAUCCUUUCUGCAUGGUGGGGGUUGGAAAGCUUCGGCGGUUUUGGAUAGACUCGCGGCUUAUCAGCUUGUUGGUGGGGUAGUGGGUUACCAAGGCUUUGACGGGUAGCCGGCCUGAGAGGGCGACCGGCAACAUUGGGACUGAGAUACGGCCCAGACUCCUGCGGGGGGGAGCAGUGGGGAAGAUUGCACAAGGGGCGGAAGGCGGAUGGAGAAACGCCGCGGGCAGGAUGACGGCCUUCGAGUUGUACACCACUUUCAGCAGGAGCGAAGCAUGUGGUGACGGUACCUGCAGAAGAAGCACCGGCUAACUACGUG
rnacentral:rRNA from 1 species